rnacentral:misc_RNA from 1 species
GUAGAUAUGCCUGAUUUUGGAAGAUAAUUCUACUCUCUGGAUUAUCUUUUUGAGAGUGAAUCCAUGUAUUAACACUAAAGAAUACAGGUCCUUCAUUAAAACCAUGAACAACAAUCUGCACCAAGUGUAUCUCUUUGUCAAGGAGAUUGGUAAUAAUGAUAGCGCCAGGACGUCCAAAAUCGUGUGGCACAGUCAAAUUUGCAGCAUAUUCAACUAUAUGUGGAUGAUCAGAAGGCUUGGACAACCAACCCCUCACAUAAGACUCCGCAAACUUUCCCGACUUGGUAACAGGAUCAAUGUCUUGACUAAUAAGCUGAAUCAAGAUUCCUCUUCCAAUCCCAUUCAUUAAAGACUCCCACUGAUCUUCAAUCUUAUCACUAAUCUUCUCCUUCAUCUUCUUCCUCAAAGUUACCACUGCCUUCACAUCUCUCGCUUUACCAGAAGAUACCAACAACCUAUUACUUUCUUCCAUAGAUUUCUCCAUAAAGUUUGCAUCUUUCACAGUCUUGUUAUCAUUUCCACUUUGAAUCACAGCUUUAACUUUAAAACAAGACCUAUUAUAUCUACAAAUCUGACUGAUUUUCCUUCUUCUGAUGCUGAAUACAUGUUGGAUUUCUGAACUAACUGGAGUGGAUCUUGAUUGAACUGCUGUAAACAUUACCGGAACUAGCUAUAAAACUUGAUCAAAAGGGAUUUUUAUUUAUGUUUAUGAAGAAACUGGG